CCUACGGGAGGCAGCAGUGAGGAAUAUUGGUCAAUGGCCGGAAGGCUGAACCAGCCAUGCCGCGUGAAGGUCAGUGCCCUAUGGGCGUUAAACUUCUUUUGUGCGGGAGCAAUAAUGGUCACGUGUGGCCAGACGAGAGUACCGUACGAAUAAGCAUCGGCUAACUCCGUUCCAGCAGCCGCGGUAAUACGGGGGAUGCAAGCGUUCUCCGGAUUUAUUGGGUUUAAAGGGUGCGUAGGCUGUGAGGUAAGUCAGCGGUGAAAUGCCCCCGCUCAACGGGGUGAAGGGCCAUUGAUACUGCCUGGCUGGAAUGCGGAUGCCGUGGGAGGAAUGUGUGGUGUAGCGGUGAAAUGCAUAGAUAUCACACAGAACACCGAUUGCGAAGGCAUCUCACGAAUCCGCGAUUGACGCUGAUGCACGAAAGCGUGGGUAUCAAACAGGAUUAGAUACCCCUGUAGUC
rnacentral:rRNA from 1 species